AACGCUGGCGGCGUGGAUUAGGCAUGCAAGUCGAACGGUAGGAUACCUUCGGGUAUCUGAGAGUGGCGAACGGGUGAGUAACACGUAGGUGAUCUACCCUCAAGAUUGGGACAACCCAGGGAAACUUGGGCUAAUACCGGAUGAAAGCAGCAGUGAUGUUGUUUGAAAGGUGGCGUAAGCUGCCGUUUGGGGGAUGAGCCUGCGCUCUAUUAGUUAGUUGGCGGGGUAAAGGCCCACCAAGGCGAUGAUAGAUAGGCGGCCUUAACGGGUGGUCGCCCACACUGGGAUUGAGAUACGGCCCAGACUCCUACGGGAGGCAGCAGUCGAGAAUAGUCUACAAUGGCCGAAAGGCCGAUAGUGCGACGCCGCGUGAACGAAGAAGCCCUUCGGGGUGUAAAGUUCUUUUAUAUGUGAGCAGUGCUUUCUAUGUGAACAGCAUGGGGAGAGAGAUAUUAGCAUAUGAAUAAGCAACGGCUAACUCCGUG
rnacentral:rRNA from 1 species